UACGGGGGGGGCAAGCGGUUGUUCGGAAUUACUGGGCGUAAAGGGCGCGUAGGCGGCCUUCUAAGUCGAACGUGAAAUCCCCGGGCUCCAACCCGGGAACUGCGUCCGAUACUGGAAGGCUUGAAUCCGGGAGAGGGAUGCGGAAUUCCAGGUGUAGCGGUGAAAUGCGUAGAUAUCUGGAGGAACACCGGUGGCGAAGGCGGCAGUCCUGGACCAUUACUGACGCUGAGGCGCGAAAGCGUGGGGAGCAAACAGGG
rnacentral:rRNA from 1 species